AACCUUUGUCUGUCACUUCAAAAGCUAUACGAUGCAAGCCAUGCGGAUCCAGCCGCCGAAUACCUAUAAGUAUCGCUUGAAUGUGCUUAUGUUCCUUGAGAAACUUGCAAAAUGCUUCUUUCAUGGGAAGUGAUAUUUUAAUGAUAUUAAGGCGAUAUUUUGACUGACACUCGUUCACAAAAUCAUCCAUCUCUGGAAAUUCAUCUCUAGGUCGAACAAAAACGAAAGGAAUAUUAGAAAGUUUUGCUUGAGCUUGCUCUUUGUAUUUUUCUUUAAGAUAGUAUAUACACAAUAAAAAGAGAACUAAGCA